rnacentral:rRNA from 1 species
AUUGAACGCUGGCGGCAGGCCUAACACAUGCAAGUCGAACGAGUGGCGGACGGGUGAGUAAUGUCUGGGAAACUGCCCGAUGGAGGGGGAUAACUACUGGAAACGGUAGCUAAUACCGCAUACCAUCGGAUGUGCCCAGACGGGAUUAGCUAGUAGGUGGGGUAACGGCUCACCUAGUCGACGAUCCCUAGCUGAUCUGAGAGGAUGACCAACCACACUGGAACUGAGACACAGUCCAAGCUCCUACGGGAGGCAACAGUGGAGAAUAUUGCACAGUAGGCGCAAGCCUGAUGCAGCCAUACCGCGUGUAUGAAGAAGGCCUUAGGGUUGUAAAGUACUUUCAGCGGGGAGGCAUUACCCGCAGAAGAAGCACCGGCUAACUCCGUGCCAGCAGCCGCGGUAAUAC